rnacentral:rRNA from 1 species
GAUGAACGCUGGCGGCGUGCUUAACACAUGCAAGUCGAACGGAAAGGCCCUGCUUUUGUGGGGUGCUCGAUUGGCGAACGGGUGAGUAACACGUGUGUAUACUGCCCUUGUCUUUGUGAUAUCUUCUGGAAACUCGGGCUAUUAUCGGAUAGGAUCUCCUGCUCCAUGGUGGGGGUUGGAAAGUUUCGGCGGUUGGGGAUGGUCUCGCGGCUUAUCAGCUUGUUGGUGGGGUUGUGGCUUACCAAGGCUUUGACGGGUAGCCGGCCUGAGAGGGUGACCGGCCACAUUGGGACUGAGAGACGGCACAGACUGCUACGGGAGGCAGCAGGGGGGAAUAUUGCACAAUGAGCGGAAGCCUGAUGCAGCAACGCCGCGUGCGGGAUGACGGCCUUCGGGUUGUAAACCGAUUUCGCCUGUGACGAAGCGUGAGUGACGGUAAUGGGUAAAGAAGCACCGGCUAACUACGUG